GUUUGUCUUUUCUUUUAGGCUGUGCUUGUGCAUCCUGAUAAAAAUAUGGGAAGCCCAUUGGCGAGUGAGUCAUUUAAGAAGCUUCAAUGUGCAUAUGAGGUUCUUUCUGACUCUGUGAAGAAAAGAGACUAUGAUGAGCAAUUGAGAAAGGAGGAAUCGAAGACCAAAAGUAUCUGCCAGAGGUCCCAGUCCUAUGGGACUUCACAACAGGUUGUGCAUAAUUUUUGUACGAUUGAUGCUGGCAUUUUAUAGUUUAAUUUAUCCGUGUUCUCAUUGAGUCAUUCAUGAUAAAUGUUCAUUUGUUUCUAACUCAGAUGAGAUAUAUGGUAAUUAGAAAGGAAGCUAAUACUAUUAUACUAAUAAAGAUGGCAAUUUCUUUCUGAAUAGACUCUAUAGGAGGGAGAGAAAAUGAAGCAUCUUCUAGGCAUUAGUCAAUCUUAUUCUUGGGUUCAUUAUACUUUGAAGUUACGUCUAGACGGCAUUAUAAGAUUUGAAGCAUUUGCUAACAUAGAGUCUUUGGAGUUGUUUGGGUUCAGAGUUGCCGUAGUUUGUGGUUAUUGUAAUUUGUGGGAUUAUAUAAUAGUUUUGUGGAGUUAGAAUAGUUUGACUUUGGGGUGUAGGCUAUUUUAGUCUGACUAUAUAGUUUGUUUUUGUGGUGAAGAUUUAGUCAUUGGUGGUUGGUUCAUUGUACUGUAACUUGCCUGUUCAAGGCUCUUUGGCAUUGGCUUUCUUGAUGGAGCAAUAAAGGUGUUGUAGAAUUGCUCUUCAUCACAAUUCUCAGAGGAUAUGAUGUAUGUAUAUCUAAAAGGUAGGUGUAGGAAAUAUUUUUCAUGUAACAACCAACAGGAUGCCAUAUUUAUUAUUUAUUCACAAAGUUCAUUGUUGUUUCUAGUUUGUUGCCAUAUUUUUCAGUCAGGUUAUGGCAAGGAGGAAAUACCGCUGGCCCUGGGAGAUAUCACUAAACAAAUGACUGCAAUAGAAGAAAUGGUUGCAAGUGAGUACAAU